AUGCAAGUCGAGGGGCAGCGCGGGGUAGCAAUACUCUGGCGGCGACCGGCAAACGGGUGCGGAACACGUACGCAACCUUCCCAAAACUGGUGAAUAGCCCUCCGAAAGGAGGAUUAAUACACCGUAACAUAACGAAGAGGCAUCUCUUUGUUAUUAUAGCUCCGGCGGUUUUGGAUGGGCGUGCGGCUGAUUAGGUAGUUGGCGGGGUAACGGCCCACCAAGCCUGCGAUCAGUAACUGGUGUGAGAGCACGACCAGUCACACGGGCACUGAGACACGGGCCCGACUCCUACGGGAGGCAGCAGUAAGGAAUAUUGGUCAAUGGACGAAAGUCUGAACCAGCCAUGCCGCGUGAAGGAUGGAGGUCCUCUGGAUUGUAAACUUCUUUUAUCUGGGACGAAAAAAGGGAAUUCUUUCUCACUUGACGGUACCAGAGGAAUAAGCACCGGCUAACUCCGUGCCAGCAGCCGCGGUAAUACGGAGGGUGCAAGCGUUAUCCGGAUUUACUGGGUUUAAAGGGUGCGUAGGUGGGCAGGUAAGUCAGUGGUGAAAUCUCCGGGCUUAACUCGGAAACUGCCAUUGAUACUAUCUGUCUUGAAUAUCCUGGAGGUGAGCGGAAUAUGUCAUGUAGCGGUGAAAUGCUUAGAUAUGACAUAGAACACCAAUUGCGAAGGCAGCUCACUACGGGAUUAUUGACACUGAGGCACGAAAGCGUGGGGAUCAAACAGGAUUAGAUACCCUGGUAGUCCACGCCCUAAACGAUGGAUACUCGACAUAUGCGAUACACUGUAUGUGUCUGAGCG
rnacentral:rRNA from 1 species